UCUCGUCACGGCAGCUGGGCAACGGUGCACACCCCUCUCUACGGCCAUCAUCAUCAUCCCCUAUUGCCCUACGAGGGAAGCAUAUAGUGCCGCGCGCCCCUUCUCGCAAGGGUGGUUUUGUGUGUGCGUGAGAGAAGGCUUUGAAAAACUCCCGCGAGAGCAUGUAUAUAUAUAUGUGUGUAUCGGAAACAUUACCCCGAGCCGAGAGAAAGCAUUGAUGGUGUUGCCGUUUGCCCUCCAUUCGUACCCGAAACCCACCCCACACAGGGGUGUGCGAGAGCGCGCGCGCGCGCGCCAAAAACCACCAGCUGAUGAGGGAUUCCGUUCUCACACACAGUGGUGAGGAUUAUCCCUCGGGGGAAAAAAAACGGCCACCCUGGGGGGUGGGGGUUGAGGGAAUUUAAUCUGCAAUUUCUUGUCCUUCUCACAAAGCGGACCACGCUCUCGUGCUGAACAUUUGACACCAAAGCAACGCAACGAUGAACCUCACAGCGGAAGGUGUUGGAUGGAUGCAGGACACCAACGACCAAACCUUCCCAGCUGUUUGCUUAACUAAGGAGUCACAUGUCACGGCAGUAGGAAAAAAGAAGAAGAAAACUUUCACCUCCUUACGGUGUACAACCGGUUACUUUCCGGUCUGGCAUGUGAAAGUUACCGAAAGGAUACAGAACAGAGAUUCAUCGGCGUGCAACACAGAAAAAAGGCGGAAAUGAGGAACCAACCCCGAAAUGGAAAUGGAACCGGAACGGAUUUGCUGCUCUCUCUCUCUCCCUCUGUGUGUCUCUGUGUAGAGCAUAUGCAUCGUUGCUAUCCUUUCUGUGUCCUUCUCUAUUUAUGGGCUAGUUUCCUCACACAUACAAGGGCAACGGGUAAGGAGUUUUAUGAAUGAAACCUAUCGCCCCUAGGCCUGUAAACUCGGGCGAGGAACGUAAAAUGAAAGGGAUUGCGUAGCAAAAAAGGGCCCCGAAGAGCUGCUCAACAUUACCCAAGCGAUACGUGUCAAAAAAAGAAAAAAGGAUGACCACCGUCGUUUCCGCUUUCAUUCGCAAAAAAAGGAACUGUAUGUAUGUGGUGUUUAGAAGUGAAUGCUUUUUUAUACUACUUUUAGGUAAAUAUUCU